AGCAGUUGAACAUGGGUCAGUCGGUCCUG
rnacentral:piRNA from 4 species